GGCUGAGUAACACGUGGAGAACCUGCCUCCUCCCCCGGGAUAGCCGCCCGAAAGGACGGGUAAUACCGGAUACCCCGGGGUGCCGCAUGGCACCCCGGCUAAAGCCCCGACGGGAGGGGAUGGCUCCGCGGCCCAUCAGGUAGACGGCGGGGUGACGGCCCACCGUGCCGACAACGGGUAGCCGGGUUGAGAGACCGACCGGCCAGAUUGGGACUGAGACACGGCCCAGACUCCUACGGGAGGCAGCAGUGGGGAAUCUUGCGCAAUGGGGGGAACCCUGACGCAGCGACGCCGCGUGCGGGACGGAGGCCUUCGGGUCGUAAACCGCUUUCAGCAGGGAAGAGUCAAGACUGUACCUGCAGAAGAAGCCCCGGCUAACUACGUGCCAGCAGCCGCGGUAAUACGUAGGGGGCGAGCGUUAUCCGGAUUCAUUGGGCGUAAAGCGCGCGUAGGCGGCCCGGCAGGCCGGGGGUCGAAGCGGGGGGCUCAACCCCCCGAAGCCCCCGGAACCUCCGCGGCUUGGGUCCGGUAGGGGAGGGUGGAACACCCGGUGUAGCGGUGGAAUGCGCAGAUAUCGGGUGGAACACCGGUGGCGAAGGCGGCCCUCUGGGCCGAGACCGACGCUGAGGCGCGAAAGCUGGGGGAGCGAACAGGAUUAGAUACCCUGGUAGUCCCAGCCGUAAACGAUGGACGCUAG
rnacentral:rRNA from 1 species